UACGGAGGGGGCAAGCGUUGUUCGGAGUUACUGGGCGUAAAGCGAGCGCAGGCGGUUCUUUAAGUCUGAUGUGAAAGCCCCCGGCUCAACCGGGGAGGGUCAUUGGAAACUGGAGAACUUGAGUGCAGAAGAGGAGAGUGGAAUUCCACGUGUAGCGGUGAAAUGCGUAGAUAUGUGGAGGAACACCAGAGGCGAAGGCGACUCUCUGGUCUGUAACUGACGCUGAGGCUCGAAAGCGUGGGGAGCAAACAGG
rnacentral:rRNA from 1 species